rnacentral:rRNA from 1 species
UACGUAGGGUCCGAGCGUUGUCCGGAAUUAUUGGGCGUAAAGAGCUCGUAGGUGGUGUGUCGCGUCGGAUGUGAAAUCCCGGGGCUUAACUCCGGAUCUGCGGUGGGUACGGGCAGACUAGAGUGAUGUAGGGGAGACUGGAAUUCCUGGUGUAGCGGUGAAAUGCGCAGAUAUCAGGAGGAACACCGGUAGCGAAGGCGGGUCUCUGGGCCGAUACUGACGCUGAGGAGCGAAAGCGUGGGGAGCGAACAGG